rnacentral:rRNA from 1 species
CGUUAGCGGCGGACGGGUGAGUAACACGUAGGUAACCCACCUAUAAGACUGGGAUAACUUCGGGAAACCGGAGCUAAUACCGGAUAAUAUUUCGAACCGCAUGGUUCGAUAGUGAAAGAUGGCUUUGCUAUCACUUAUAGAUGGACCUGCGCCGUAUUAGCUAGUUGGUAAGGUAACGGCUUACCAAGGCAACGAUACGUAGCCGACCUGAGAGGGUGAUCGGCCACACUGGAACUGAGACACGGUCCAG